GACGAACGCUGGCGGCGUGCCUAAUACAUGCAAGUAGAACGCUGAAGCGAGGAGCUUGCUCUUCUUGGAUGAGUUGCGAACGGGUGAGUAACGCGUAGGUAACCUGCCUUGUAGCGGGGGAUAACUAUUGGAAACGAUAGCUAAUACCGCAUAACAAUGGAUGACACAUGUCAUUUAUUUGAAAGGGGCAAUUGUUCCACUACAAGAUGGACCUGCGUUGUAUUAGCUAGUAGGUGAGGUAAUGGCUCACCUAGGCGACGAUACAUAGCCGACCUGAGAGGGUGAUCGGCCACACUGGGACUGAGACACGGCCCAGACUCCUACGGGAGGCAGCAGUAGGGAAUCUUCGGCAAUGGGGGCAACCCUGACCGAGCAACGCCGCGUGAGUGAAGAAGGGUUUCGGAUCGUAAAGCUCUGUUGUAAGUCAAGAACGGGUGUGAGAGUGGAAAGUUCACACUGUGACGGUAGCUAACCAGAAAGCGACGGCUAACUACGUG
rnacentral:rRNA from 1 species